UCGAAAAAGCUCCUGCUUCUGCUGCACUCAAUCCCACACACAUAAAAAGUUUAAGAUUAUGAAGAAAAUGUAACGGUCACUUUUUUGGUAAACGUACGUGGCUGCACGAACAAUUGGUGAACAAAUAAAAUGACUAAAAUGUGGUCGUUCGUCGUGUGGACUCUGUGGUGUUGGUGUGGAGGCUCAAGGCUCUCCACGCUGUUUGGAAGUUCCUGACUGGCAUUUAUCCAUGUAAGCCACCCGUCGAUGCUUGGCAGUUUGUUUGCACCUGCGUAAACUUUUCCUUUGUGCAGAUUUGAGGCCAGUCAUCGUAAUCACAAAAUAUGAAAGUUUUAUUUGUGCUGACAUUUGACCUGUCCUCAGCAUCGUUUUUGGGACCUUCACGAGUUCAGUGUAUUAACAUGGACAUACUUUACAUUCUCCCAUUUAUUGAAAAAUUCAGAUAAACAACAUCAUUUUGGAUUGGAGAAACUACCGAUGUCAAUCUGAGAGUUACGGAUGUCUUCUUCCCCUUUCGUUCAAUCCUCUCUGUCUUCGUGUACACCCAUGUGAGUGUGCGUGUAUUCACGAGUCUGAGGCCCUUUUUUCCCUAUCCCGCCUCUGGUGUAAUUCAACUUUGAUGGUCUAAGCACCUGUGGAUGCCCGGCCGUAUUUCCCAGGCUUUAAGAGGUGGACUUUCUAAUGAGACUAAAAACAUAGUGCAACGACAGCAACAAAGCAAGGAACACUACGAGACGCAGGACGGCGAUCAGAGUCGAGGAAUGUAAACGCACCAUCGCCUCCAAUGAAAUCGUGUUUUGAUUUCAAGCAACAGUAAUGACUAACUCACAGGAAGCCCCCAAGCUAAACAUAUGGACUUGUCAAAGUGAAAGUUGUAUGAAGAUGACAUUGCUGAAAAGUCAAGUGCGCCUCAUCCAGAGUAUUUGACUAGGCUAUGGCCUGUGAACUGCAGUUGUCGCCGGUUGCUGCGGAUACUCAGCCUGAAGGAACAUGACAAAUGUUUAAUAUUUAGCCAUCAGUUUCAGGCCGAGUCGAGGUUGGACGAAACGCUCAUACUUGAUUGCGCUGCAUUAUGGGCCCUAAUCUUUCAGACCGUUCAACUGUACGAGAGAAAAUAUACGAGAAGACGUUGGACUCUGCAACCCUAGCAGGUGUGACAUUCUUCUGUGUACCAACAGGUGUACCGUGGGGAAAGUAACACGAGCGAAAAUUGCUGGUGGCGCGUAAUGCAGAGAGGAAUUUUGUUGAACAUGCGCGCUGCGUAUAGUAGUUAAAAGGAGAAAAGUUAAAA